rnacentral:rRNA from 1 species
ACGAAGGUCCCAAGCGUUGUUCGGAUUUACUGGGCGUAAAGAGUACGUAGGCGGCGAGGUAAGUCAGAUGUGAAAGCCCAGGGCUCAACCUUGGAACUGCAUCCGAUACUGCCUUGCUUGAGUAAUGGAGGGGCAUCUGGAAUUCACGGUGUAGCAGUGAAAUGCGUAGAUAUCGUGAGGAACACUAGUGGCGAAGGCGAGAUGCUGGACAUUUACUGACGCUGAGGUACGAAGGCCAGGGUAGCGAAAAGG